CUACGGGGUGCAGCAGUGAGGAAUAUUGCACAAUGGGGGGAACCCUGAUGCAGCAACGCCGCGUGGAGGAUGACGCAUUUCGGUGUGUAAACUCCUUUUAUAUGUCAAGAAAAUGACGGUAGCAUAUGAAUAAGCACCGGCUAACUCCGUGCCAGCAGCCGCGGUAAUACGGAGGGUGCAAGCGUUACUCGGAAUCACUGGGCGUAAAGGACGCGUAGGCGGGUUGGAAAGUCAGGUGUGAAAUCCUACAGCUUAACUGUAGAACUGCACUUGAAACUUCUAAUCUAGAGUAUGGGAGGGGGAGAUGGAGUUAGUGGUGUAGGGGUAAAAUCCGUAGAUAUCACUAGGAAUACCUAAAGCGAAGGCGAUCUCCUGGAACAUUACUGACGCUAAGGCGUGAAAGCGUGGGGAGCAAACAGGAUUAGAUACCCCUGUAGUC
rnacentral:rRNA from 1 species